GCCUGGUAGAAGAAGGAACAAGAGAAGUCUCUAAGAUACAACCUUGAAGGAAGAAGGUUGAUUAUGUCAAAACAUGUUGGGUACAAGGAAGGAAAUAUGCUCCAAAAUCUAAGGAAAAACACAAGGAUGACCAAGAAAGACUUAGAUAAUCGAGUAAGUUUAAGAUGCCCAAGAAAAGAUUAAGGGAUCGAACAAUAGGAUUAAGAGACCCAUAGAAGGUUAAUGGGCAAAAGGAAGAGAUUUUCAAUGCCCUAGCAAGGAAUUAUGUGGUUUGAAAAGGAAAUUUUAUUUACUCCAAGGAAAGAAGGAAAGAAGAACUUAAGACCCUAAGAACCCACCAAUAAGCCUUGUAGAAGAAGGAACAAGAGAAAUCUCUAAGAUACAACCUUGAAGGAAGAGGGUUGAUUAUGUCAAAACUUGUUGGGUACAAGGAAGGAAAUAUGCUCCAAUAUAUAAG